AGAGCUGAAUUUCACAGGAGCGUCUACGGGAAGCAGAUCAGUCCUCAUGAGAAAGCCUCUUAUUUUGCUGCUCCUGUACGUCGGAGCGAUGGGUUUCGGCAGCGUUUGUUCAGCAGUGCAGAAUCAAACCAGUGGAACGAGUGCUGGACUUACAGC